ensembl:lncRNA
GUAUUUAGAAAGUGUCCCGCCUUGCCUGCUUUUUUCAGAUUGCUAUCACCCUCCCCUGAUGGGAUUAUGAGCUUGGCUUCUCAGAGGCACUGCCUGCUCCAGCUGGCUCAAACAGGGAGUAGCGCUCCUAAAGAAGGAAGACCCACAGAGGAGAAAUGUUCUGAAUGUCAGUGGGAUCCUCAGAAGAGCAAGUACAUCUGGAGAAGUGGCCCCUGAGGUACUACGCUGCCUUCAUUUUGGGUGGUUUUCAUAGAAACAAUAGGGAUUUUGCUGCAGAUGUUCAUCAAGCUCAUUUUUCAAGCCUCG